UACAGCCAUAUCACAUUGUAAUAUCAGUGCCCAUACGAUCACUAAAGUUCAGCAACAUUGAGCCUGGUCAGUACCAAGAUGGGUGACCACUUGGGAAUACCAGGUUCUGUAAG